rnacentral:lncRNA from 1 species
GUCAGCAGGCCUCAGGCAGAAGCAGACAAGAAGGGUAAGAAGUAAAGGAGAGGGAGGAAAGGAGUUGAAAGAAUAAGAGAAUGAGGUGAAAGCUGAAGUCCCCACAGAGGGAAAUGCCACAAGACUAGGCCGUGCAACAUUUCCGCAGUGCUCCUCGCUACAAAGACAUUCCCCUAAGGCUGGUGGGCAACUCAACACUCAGCUCAGUACGUGGUCAGCUCGUCCUCCAUAGGAGCCUUAUGCCUUGGUGAGGAGAUCUCUGAAGAAAUUGCUGAUGAAAGUCCAACAGGCUCUUCCAGUUUGUCUGGUCGGUCACAUUUGCUGAAACCUGGAGGAAUUGUUAGUGGAAGCUCAACAGGCCUGACUCAGUCUGACUGUCCAUUCUUCUGGAAGCUGCAGAGAAAAGAAACCUGGAAACCUUAUAUGCUGACAAAAAGGGACACAAUUGGAUAUGAUGGUUAUUUUACCAAGGUUUUGAAAUGUCGUGCUUUCAAAUAUAAACAGACUGCUUUAAGGAAUCGAAGUUGACUUAUAGAGCCAAUAAAAGCCCUGCAGGAAAGCUGGCCUCAUACUUUGUCUACACAGUCUCUGUACAGGUUUCCUGACCUGUGGACUCAUUUACCUUAUAGUAUGCUACUCACUAAAACUGUAGAUGAGAAUACUGAAGCCUUGUCAGAGACAACAUCACUAUUGCAAAACCUAAGAUCAGUGCUGGAGAUAUUUUGCAGACCCUGCACUUGAUAGAUCAGCUGGCACCACCCAGAUGGAUAAACUGGCUCAUCUGAUCUCGUGGCCUCCACCGGGAACU